UGACUCUGAUUCUGACUCUGAUUCUGAUCUGACUCUGCUGCCGUCUCGUCCAUCCUACACAGAGAGCCUCAACGCAGACAUGGUGAAGACUGACAACCCUGACGCUGUGGUGGCCACCGAACCUCAAGUCCAGCAGACCCUUCUGGAGCCUCCCAACGCUGAGCCCCCCAGUGAGGAGAACGCUGUGUAACGCUGCUCUCACACACACACACACACACACACACACACACACACACUCAAACACACACACACACACGUCCACCGUACCUGUGCACUUUCCCAAGCAGCAUAGGCAUGCACUUGCACACACCCAAUUUGCUGAUAAAGCCCACCCACACACACACACCCACACACUGCAUAUUACAGGAUGUUCCCCAGCGACACUGUGGCGAUGCAGAGAUCAGCAAACUGUUUGAAAGUUCCAUGACAGCGUUCCCAAACCCAGUCUAGACCCGAGCAUUCUGAGAACCGAUACGUUAUUGGGCCUCCCCAAACAUUCUGAAUCGAACCCGCGACAACACAUUCCAGAACAGCAGCGGAACAGCAGCGGAACAUUCGAACAACGAUUUCCGCCGCCUGCGUGUUCUAUGUUUGAAUGGCAUUGUUGUCCCAUUGUGACUGUUGUCCAGUUACUUUGCUGUCAACAUGGGAUCUGUCAGUUAGCUGGUCUCUGUUGACCCACCCCUUACCCCAGCCAAAACAUUGUGUACAGUGUCUUGUUAAUUUAUUUGACUGUUGAAGCACCACUUAUAACCCUUGUUUACAAAGCUGACGACGACAGCUGAUGAAAUGAAGUUUACUAUGUAAUGCUCCUUAUAUCCCGAAAUGAAUGUUGUUGUCCAAACAUGCACCCCACGUAUGACCCGAUCUAACAGAUCGUCUCAUUGGUGAAGAAGCCUGUCUAUCAAAAAAAUUAAGGCGGGCUGAUUUUUUUGCUCUGACAAAUCAGAAAGCAGAGGUUUGACAAUAUUGCCUAGACAUAUCAAAACAUUGACAUAUUAAAUCACUGACGAGGGAUAUCUGAAGUCACAUGCUCCACAUACUUGUUUGGAAUGUACGCUUCCAAAAGAAUUCUAGAAUUUUCCACCGAAUAACCCCGCCGACCCCAUGAUUCUAUUGAACUCCCCCCACUUAGGUUUUUGUAAAAUUUUUACCUUCACUGUACAUACAAGCCUAUAGGCCCUCCCUGCACCCAGACGGUUUUGCAUUUAAACAAUAGAGGGUUGCAUUUUUAUAGCUAAACACGCAAAAAAGGAAACAAAAAUAUUUGAUGUUCAAUUGAAUUGAAUGAUUUACUAACCUAACCGAGAGUUGUCUGUCUGUGGUACAAUUUACAUGUUUGGAAGAAAAGGGGAGAAUUGGAGAAGGAGGAAGGAGUUUAUUUGUCUGACAAUGUGAUGUGAAGAUAAUGUUACUAAUACUCUUAUGUAAAUGUUUUAAUCUAUUUGUUCUACUGAGAUAACAGUGCUAGAAAAGCUCGCGUGAAGGGCGACAAGUGAAGUCUGUGUGUAACUUUGAAGAAGAAGAAAAAAAAACGUUUACCUUUUUGCAUAGUUGAAGUCGAUGGCGAUGGUAGAGACUUUGGGGUCUGACUUGAAAACUGAGUAAUUUCUAGGUUGUGUAGAUUAGUCCAGACUGUUGUUGUUAGUGAGUAGUUUGUUGUAGGGCUACUUUAUGCUUUGAGAGCAUAGUGGCAAAAGGUUGCGCCGCUUGUAUAUAUCGGCAGUGUGUGUAUGCCUGUGCUAUUCUCCUUAUUAUUCUUGUUAUAUGAAAUCAACGUACCCUUAGUAUUUACGCUUAUUAUCCUAUACACUGUAGUUCCUGUGUGUGUGUGUAUCUGUGCGUUCUACCGCCUUUAUAACCCCCCCACCCCUCUGGGAGAAGGGGUUUGUCUCAAAAUAGCAGAACUUAUCCGCCAAGGUCUUUUUUUUAUUAGGUAUGACAGUUUUACUUUAUUCCACAAACAAAAAACAUUUAUUGGCCAAAUCUAAAACGGCUCUUUAGCUACUACGUUCUAGUGCACUUAACAUCUACCCUAGUACAUUCAAAAGUAGUACUCAACAGGUGCUAGUGCAGGGGGUCGCCAUUGGCAACGCUGUCCAACAGUAUGUUGGGUCGCGUUCCGUUCGGCUCCAUCGUUGCCUUGGAAACGCAGCCUGGUUAUAACCACGCCCCUUCCUGUGAAGCUCCAGCACGACCUCACUUCCCGUUUUCCCUCGCCACCCCCUCGCCACUGUCCCCGGAUCAGACGUUAGCUGAAACGGAAAAAGCCGUCCCUGGAUCAAGCAGUAUAUGCUGCCCAGUUUAGACUGAUCCUGCAUCAGUUGUUAAAGGGCAGUGGGUGCAUUGAAUUCGACUCACCCGGUUCCAGGAGGGCAUGGCUAGCCUCUGUCUCUGUCCCCUAGCCAUGCUGCUGAUGGUGCUUCUCUCUAUGCCUUAUACCCUGCUCACUCACUCUGGGACCCGCAGUCACUGAAAACAAACACACCCUAGUGAGAUCUGGACCCCGGGCCUCAGGUGGAGCUUCUGCCUCUCAAUUACUUUAGGCGCGUUCGAUUUAUAUCUCCGAGCAGGCCAGGCGUGGAUGGGGUGUGCGUGACUUCCAUGUGCACAGAGGAGAGGGGAUUAAACGAACGAACCCAAAGUGGUGUGAGAGACGAGGAACCCCAGACCCUGGGAAACGGAGAGAGCUUUUCUACACACACGCGCGCGUGUACACAACGAAUGUCAAACGAAUGUUUACCGAAUGUAAUCUCUUCGACUCUUUAUCUGUUCCGCAGAGAGUUCUCGCUUUCUUGUAGCAAAAAUUCAGAGCCACCAAAGAUGUAACCUCCAUGCAUUUGACUGGAUCAUUCCGGCCUUCAGGCGCACGUGUUGUUCCACAGAGAAGGACAGUGGCUGUUAUUUGUGUUUUUUUUUAUUGUAAACGAUUGCACGUAAGGUUUUUUGGCAUGACCGAAAACACUGAAGAUUAAUUUUAAGAGGAAGAGAGAAAGAGAACUUUCUUUCAUGCCAAAGUUUUGAUAUUGGGGCCAACUUUUGAAUGUUUAACUUGUCGUCUCUCACCAAGACGCACAAAACCACGAUCGAUUCCAAACUGGACACUAAAAACACGUGAGGAUUUCACGUCUUUACAAAGCAAUUCAAUAGCAGUUAAAAAGAUUGUUAAAGCCCCCCCACCACCCCCC